UGGUGAUCGCUUCUUGAAUAUUGGAACUGGUGGAGGGGGUGACUUCUUCACAAAUGGAACAAGCGGUGGUGAUGGCUUCUUGUAAAUUGGAACUGGUGGAGGAAUUGGCUUCUCAAAAAUUGGAAUUGGUGGUGGUAAUGGCUUCUCGUAAAUUGGAAUUGGUGGAGGAAUUGGCUUCUCAAAAAUUGGAACAGGUGGUGGUAAUGGCUUCUCAAAAAUUGGAACUGGUGGAGGGGGUGGUUUCUUCAAAAAGGGAAUAGGUGGUGGUGAUCGCUUCUUGAAUAUUGGAACUGGUGGAGGGGGUGACUUCUUCACAAAUGGAACAAGCGGUGGUGAUGGCUUC